CAGCGGAGCAUGUGGUUUAAUUCGAAGCAACGCGAAGAACCUUACCAGAUCUUGACAUCCAAUUGACCAUCUUUUAAUCGAGAUUUUGCCUUCGGUACAAUUGAGACAGGUGGUGCAUGGCUGUCGUCAGCUCGUGUCGUGAGAUGUUGGGUUAAGUCCCGCAACGAGCGCAACCCUUGUGUUUAGUUUGCAAACAGGUCAAGCUGUGCACUCUAGACAGACUGCCGUGGACAACACGGAGGAAGGUGGGGAUGACGUCAAAUCAUCAUGCCCCUUAUGAUCUGGGCUACACACGUGCUACAAUGGCCGGUACAACGGGCAGCGAAGGAGCGAUCCGGAGCGAAUCCUAAAAAGCCGGUCCCAGUUCGGAUUGCAGGCUGAAACUCGCCUACAUGAAGCUGGAAUCGCUAGUAAUCGUGGAUCAGCCAAGCCGCGGUGAAUACGUUCCCGGGCCUU
rnacentral:rRNA from 1 species